rnacentral:lncRNA from 10 species
GUAACCACUUCCUGCAGAAAUCCUCCAGCCCUGUUAGAAAUGCCUCAGCCAGGGGGACUCAUCUCCUCAAACCUGGGGGACCGAGACCUAUGAGAGGUCACAGCAUGAGGCCAGGACAUCGGAGGUACCCAGACAUUGUUAUGAAACUCCGCAUGUGCCCCUGGUGGACGCUGCUGGACCCAGCAUGCACACUUCUCGGCUAAGAGUCACCCUGGAUGAACCACCAUUGCCAGCGGGGAGCAUGUUGCAGCUUUCCCACGCAGUGGAUGAGAACGAAGGUUACGACCAUUGUGUGGGAGGCGUCUGUGUAGCAAUUGCUGGAAUCACUUGUGGCAUUGUAGAAAGACUGAGCGUGGGAAAGAAGACGCAUUCUGAAGUCACCCCGAUUUAUGUUAAAUUAUCACCUUGACUACUGCUAUAGAACGAAUGUUUAUGUCCCCCACCCAAAUUCGUAUGCUAAGACCUAAUAGCCAAUAAGAUAGUAUUAAUAGAUGGGGCCUUUGGGAGGUGAGUGGCUCAUGAGGGCAGAGUCCUCAAAACCAGAUAAGUGCCCGAAUAAAAGGGGCCCCAGAGAGAUCCCUUGCACCGUCUACCAUGUGAAGUGUAGAACACAGCGAGAAGGCCACCUAUGAGCCAGAACGUGGGCCCUCACCAGAACCCAGUUGUGCUGGCACCCUGAUCCUGGACUUCCAGCCUCCAAAAUGACGACAAAGAAGUUUGUUUUUCCUGAGCCAUCCACUUCAAAGUAUUCUGUCAUAGCUCCCCAAAUAGACUAAGACAUCUACUUAACCUUGGUCAAACGUUUAACCUUGGAGUCCACGCCUCUGAAAUGGUGACAAUAACACUGUGUAUUUCCUACUUUAUGAUCAGGAUUAAUAAAUGUAAUUUAUUAAUCAGAAAUUAGUAAUUUCUGAUUAUUAAUUCUAUGGUGCUUGAUACUUGAUUGAGGCUUAUUUAAUAUUUGGAUCUCUUUUAAUUUUUUUCUUUUUUGCUCUUUCUUUCUGCUUUUCCUCUUCCCCUUUUCCUAUUGAAAUAGAAUGCAGAGGAUAAAGCAAGCAAACAAAAAAACUUCCAGAAGAAUCACAGAGUUUUAGACCUAGAAAAAAACUGAAAAAUCAUCCAUUCCACUCUCCUCAUUUUACAGAUGAGGGCAUCGAGCCUCAGAGAAAUGAAACUUGCCCAAGACCACACAGCAAGUGAGUGGGGGACUCAUGACCCAAGACACUUUUUCCAGGCUUCCUUCUACCACAUCAUGCUGCAGAAAACACAGCAGAUGGGAAGAGACGAGGCAUGUGGUUGCCAUUUCUGUAUUACAUCCAAUUCAUAUUUCAUUUAGAAAAUGUAUUUCUAGAACUUGUUAAAAAACCUGAAUGAUUUUGAUUGAAGUUUUUCAAAACUAGGAUUACUAUGCUUCUAAUGGAGAUCAAGUUCAAAUUUUUAACAUAUUUUGCCUUAUUUUGCCACUCCCCUCAAAAUAUCCAUAGUAUUGAAUGCCCAGGUUUCCUGUUUGGAAAAGCCCGAGGAUCUGUGCACACUCUGGGCUACUCUUGCCCAGCUCCUGACUGAGGCACUGGACCUGGCCCGAUGCUGCUCUCUGCUGCUGCCCAGCUCUUCUGCUCCACCGGCAACACUGUACCCAGUUAAUCAUUAGGGCCCUUGUCUCUGUACAAUUGCUCUGUACAACUCGAUAAAAUAAUCCAUGCUAACAAAAGUCUAGAAUGGAAGGUGCCUGCUAUGGUUUGAAUGUUUGUCCCCUCCCAAAUUCAUGAUGAAAUUUAAGCCGUAUUAGAAAGUGGGACUUUUGAGAGGUGAUAAGGCCAUGCAGGGCCCCCCUCAUGGGUGGGAUUGGUGCUGGUAUAAAAGGGUGAGCUUAGCCCCCUGCCUCUCUCACCUCCUCACCUUCUGCCAUGUGAUGAUGCAGCAAGAAGGCUCUCGCCAGAUGUCGGCACCUUACUAUUGGCCUUCCCAACUUUCGGGACUAUGAGCCAAUACAUUUCUGCUUAUUGUAAAUUACCUAGUUUCAGCUAUUCUGUCAUAGCAGCACACAACAGACUAAGACGCUCUUCAACUCACUCCUCACAAUCCUGUGUUGUUCUAGGAAAAACUGUGUAAUUUAACAUUGCCUCUUUAGAGACAACGUCCCUCCUCUAUCUCUCAGAAAGAGGCUUUCUCAGUAAAGAGGAGGAGGAUGUUGGGUGGGGGAGAGGGUUGGGAGUACUUUGGUUUUUCCCACCGGUAUGGCCAUGAGAUCCCUCUGUUUGCAGCACCUCGGCAUCUGCCUGCCUACUCCUGAGUUGGGCCCUGUGGUCAUGAAUUCUUCUGUCAAAUAACUAUUCCUAAAAACAAGCAUGCAUGACUAACCAUGAGACAAUUGCAGUGAUGCAAGUGUAUGUGACUUAUCUCAUCUACCCAGUGUGACAGCUUGACACUCAAGGGGGAGAUUUUCACCAUCGAUUCCCAGAACAAAGAAUUUAGAGUAAUGCUGGAGGCUGAGGCAGGAGAAUGGCGUGAACCCGGGAGGCAGAGCUUGCCAUGAGCUGAGAUAGCGCCACUGCACUCCAGCCUGGGCGACUGAGGGAGACUCCAUCCCCCCCAAAAAAAAGAAUUUAGAGUAAUGAACAUUUAUGUAUGGGUGGCCCUGUGAUGUCUCUGAUAACAUCCCUUGUUUGGCCAAAUUCUCGGACUCUAAAAGACAGUAUUGGCUCUGCAGGCUUUCUGGGCUCAGCGAACCUGCAAUACCAAAGUUCCACAUUUUGGGGAGUACUACCUCAUCUGUGUAAGUACAGUUCUGAAAAUUAUUGUAAAAUGUGUUCUACAAAUAAUGGGGU